UUGGAAGUAAAAGUCGUAACAAGGUCUCCGUUGGUGAACCAGCGGAGGGAUCAUUACUGA
rnacentral:rRNA from 1 species